CGGAGAGGGGCGGGAGUCACGUGGGGGUGGCGGAGCUGUGGCUUCCACACCGGCUGGAGCCGCCCCGAGGGUCUCACCGCCCCCCUCCCCCCCGUCCGAGUGCUGCCGGUGCCCUGUGGGAGCUGCUCCAGGGCUCUGUACGGGGCUACAGGGCCAGCCCAGGAGGAACCGUGCGGGCUGGGGGAGGGCAGAGCGGGCGAGAGAGCCCAGGAGGAACCGUGCGGGCUGGGGGAGGGCAAGGCGGGAGAGAGUCAGCAGCGCGGAGGAGGUGGCCCAGGAGGAAGACUGAGUCCCGAGAGGGUCUUUAUUUACGAAAGCACUGAAAUUUGGGUUUGGUGGUGUUUGGAAGAUGGCGGUUCCGUGCGAGGUGUGAAGUGCUCCCCAAAGAGUUGAGAGUCAGAGAGGUUCCUCCCAGAAAAUACGAGUUGUUCUGGGCUGGAAUCGGCGGUUUGGAUGAUGGUGCUGGGUGUGGUAGCAUCCCUUGGAGGGAUGCUUGGAAAGGGCUUUGUACGAGGACUCCUAGUCUCAAAGAGUACGUGUGCAGGCAAGCAAGGGCUGGAAGUGGGCUGACUGGUUGUAAACAAGGGGUGCGGGUAAAUGGCAGGCGAUGUCGGGUUUUGUUGGCAUCCACGAGGCCAUGGCGGUGAACACUCUUUGGUCGAACUGCCAUUGUAACUAACGAUCUGGCAGAAGAAAACUGUGCUCUGCUCACGAGUCGAGAAAGACACUGUAAGAAAGGAAUGAGGUCACCUCGGAGAAAGGCUUGAAACUUGCUAAAAACAUGUUGCUUUCUUCUGAACAGGCAUACUCAGUUUUUCAAACGUUGCUUUGCUGUACCGCUUUUCUUACCUCGUCAUGAGCCCUUCACCACUGUGUAUUCCUGGCAUAGGCUCUCUUACAUUUCCUCUUUACUCCUCUACCAUUUCCAGAGUUUUACAUUCUACCAUCAUAUGAUUAAUAUUGCUAGUAAAGUGGGUGCAGUUGUGCUUACCCAUCCCAUCUGGCUCUGGAAUUUGGCUUCUCUUGUGUGAUCACUUGCCAAGAUUUUUCAGCUUGCUAGAGUGUGAAAGCAACACUGAAUCCUGCUGCAGGAUCUGGCUUUACCAAUGACUCCUAAAUGUUAUACCAGUGACUUAAACUUAACAUCCAAACCAUUCUCGGCCAUCUUUCUCCUUCUGCUGUCUGCAUUCUUGACCUUGCUCACCAGUCAGGAGAUGACAGAUCUAUCUUUUUUAUGCCUAAUACCUCCAACUCUGACUGAAUUAAACCUCUUUGUUUUGUGAGUUCAGCUGACUGAAGGACAGAAGGGAAAUAUGCGUUGUGAACAACUCCAGAAACAGAGAGCAACAUGUCAGAAGGUUAUGGAUUUGUUCUGUGCGGUCACUUUUGAGAGGCUGAUUGCCAUGAGCACAGAGGAGCGAUGACAGGAGGUGAAACUCCAGUGACGAAAUCACCGGGAAAACAUCAGGGAAGAACACGCUGAUCUGGAUCUGGGACUGUAAAAGGAGGAGGAUGUGCCUCAGGACCAAGUGUGAAACUCACCACACAAGUUAAUGGAAGAGGCUCUCUGGGUUACUACAGAUACCACAUCAUCCUGAGAGGGACAUUGUCCUUGCAUCCCAUAAUGACUUCAGAAAUCCUUGGGAUUGUGCAAGACUUAUUAUAAAACAUUAAGGAGAAGGACCAAGGUAGGGAAAAGGAGGAUCAAGGUGUUUUGAGGAGGGACAAAUGUGAGAAGAUAAGGAAGAGGUAGCAAUAAGGGCCAGUUGUAAGGCCGCUGGUAAGUACCUGAUCAGAGCUGCUUUUCCAGCAUUGUUGCUGAACUUCAUUUGCAACUGUUUUCAUGGAUGAGAGUCUGUCUGUCAGUGGAUGGACAGCUAAGUACCAGUGAACGGAGAGGGGACCAGUGGUCACAGGGGCCCAUGCUUCUGUGAUACCAGCAGCUGCAAAGACUGGAGUGUCUGUAGGGCUGAGUGCCAGCAACUGGACAGAUGCCCAGUCAUAGAUAUCCGUUUGUCUGGAGUGGCAGCAGCUGGAAAGACUGGAGUACAUGUGUCUUGUGAGGAUCUGUACAUCACUGUGUGUAAUUACUAAAGAGCAUGAAGCUGGGCUAGCAGGCUAGUAAGAUAAGCUUGGGAGCCAAGUACUGGAGAUACCAGAGAACCCUGGGUGUGGUCUAUGGGAGGGACUAGGAGCUCCAGGCCAGCUGUGGGAAGGACCCAUGGGGUCAGGGGACCAGCUGUAAGAGAGCCUGUUAGCACGUACCUCUGUACAUGAGGCGACUGUCAGAUCAGGGGAUUCAGGGACUGGGUAUAGAUUGAGUAAGACCAGUUACCAGAGAGAGUCAGAGGGUGUGUGUCACAUGCUCCCGGGGGUUUGGGACCCAGCAACCCAUGUGGACGUGCAGGCCUUAGGGGCUUUUAUGUCCAGGUGCCAGACACUGGAGACACCAGAAGAUCCAGCAGUCAGUUACUGGACAGAUGGAGUGUCUAUGAACAGCCACUGGAGUAUUGUAUGGAGUGUGUGUUCCUUGCUCGCAGGCCUUCAUCCUAAUCAGCCAGACAGGGGAACAGUAUUGUGGAUGUUGGUGCUGUUGGUGGUUGUGCCAGGGCUAUGUUUUUUGUCUGUGUAUCUGUGUGGAUGGCUGCGUGUGCAUGUGUGUACUCUACACUUCCACCUAUUGAGAAAACAUGCUCAGCCCCACUAUUGGCAUCCUGGCCUCUACUGGGCAACAAGCUUUGGUAACCUCUAAUAACUAUUGUUGUUUGGGUAUUGUAGUGGUAUUGGGUCUAGACAGAGAAAGGCUGAGUUUUCAGGAAGGAAAAGAGUGUAAGCAACAGCAAAGUAUACUAGAAAAGAAUAUGGAGAAAAUGAGGAGAGAGGGGAGGGAAGAAAGAAGCACUCUAGAGAGACCUAUUUAGAAUUUUAGAACAAUGCACUUUGUUAUAUAGCAAGGCUAUAUAUAUAUACAUACAACAUACACAAUACAAUCAUAUGCAAUAGUUUUAUACGUUCUUGUGGAUGCUAUUGAAUGAAAGAUGCUGAAGGAGGAGAAAAACAGCAUUUAUUCAUGCAUGGCAUGCUUUUAAGUACUAUAAGUUAUUAUUUAUCUUCACAGGAGACUUUACAACAUAAUUACAAGGUAUCCCAGGAUGGAAAUUCUGUUCCUUUGUGCCACUGGAAUAUAAUAGUCAAAGUGUCUGAGUACAGUUUAUCAUCUGGAGCUUAGAGCUUUUAUUCUAAAAGUUGUCAAAGCUGCAUCAUAGAACAUGCAUGUUUUAUGUAUGUCUAAAACACAGGGGUAGCAAUUCUUUCAUCAGCAAGUUUCUGCUUAAUUAGAAAAAGUUAUAUUUAAAAAACACAGAAGCAAUAGCUUCCUCAUUUGUUUGUUCCUUUUUUCCAUGUUUGAUUGCAUAAAUAGAAGCCUGAAUCUCAAGUGCCCUGACUCAAUCAGCAGAGGCAGGCUGCAAAUCUUACUGGGAUAGCACUGGGCUUUUUGACACUCAUUGCCUUCACUUCUGUACUUGAGCCAACAAUGCAACAUUCACUUACGACAAGAAAAUUCAUGGUGAAGAAUGAUGUUCACGGUAGCAGCAUAUUCUCUGCAAUUUUAGGUACAGUGUCUUGUAAAAGGAAUGUUGCACCAGGAUGACCUCUGCUGCAGCUCUUUUAUUUGGGCUGAACGUGGGACUGGAUUGAUGGCCGGCCACCUUUCCCUUUGACACAGCCUGCUCCUUUUUUGCACCCUGAUUUGCUUUGUCCUAACAGAAGAAUGAUGCCACUUUGGUUUGUGUAUUUGGAAAAUGGAUUGUAAUAAUGGAAGCCAUAGCUGUUUAAUGAACUGUUGGAAUAAAGUUUUGGAAUUCAGAUUGCUUUGGAAAACUAGGACUGUUAAAAGCUGGAUUCAAAAAGCACCUAUGAGCACAGCAGUUUUAGCUGUAUUUUAGAUUCUCUGCUGGAUACAGAAGAUAAUUGGAAGGCAUGCAUUUGGGGAGUUGUCUUUCUAAACACGAGUUUAAAAUCAAAGUUUUCAAAGCCAAAUGUCUUUGAAAUUACUGAAGCUAAUGAAUACUUAGCAUCUCAGAAUACAAGCCUGCUUGUUUACAUUCUUCAGUCUGGAUCUAGCAUUCCCAUGCUAUUUUAAAAGCCUGUCUUUAAUGAAUAAUGUAAGUUUAAAUUCUGAUCAGUAAAGCUUUAGUGGCUGCCAUUAAGGUAAUAUUUGAAGUAAACCUGUUCUGACACAAAGCCUGGAUCACAGAUGGAGACAUUAACUGGAAAAUCUAUACCUUAAAAGUAUUGCUGUAUUUCUGUUUGGCACUUUCUGGAAAGAAAUAGCAGCGUGUGUGUUGGGUAGGUCUUGGGACAUGCCACAGUUGCUUGUUUACAUUCUGCAGAAUAGAUUGUGUGUUGUAGUAACUGUACAUAAGUAGACAAACUCUAAAACUGCAUGUAGCACUUUUAACACUUUAGAUAAGCUACACCUCUGGAACUACUUAGCACAUGCAGGUUUCUAAGAUAUCAAGCAGCCAAGCUCUAACGUUCAGAAUUUCUUGUAACAUUUCUGUAAGUAGGAGACCUGUUGUUUGUCUCAAAACUUGCCUGUUUUGACAAACUGUUACUCUAAUGUCCUCACUUGUGUUAAAUUAUUGCUGCUUUCAGGUGUGCUUGUUUCAAAACUGUGAUACCAAAGUAACCUCAUACAGGGGACAGAUGCCACAGUAAUAUUUAGGAUUAUUGUCAUUAUGUUUUCUUCUGCCUGGUAUUAAAUUUGGAUGGUAUAAUAUCUCUUGUGAAAUAGAACACUAGUAGAUAACUUGAAAACCAGGCACUGCCAGUUUUUUUUUUUCCUAUCGAACUAAUUUCCUUUGAACCUGAAGCAGCAUCCAUCAGAUCUUGUCAGCAGCACAACGAGGCAGGACUGUAUAUUGUCAGUGGAAUACCAAUUAGCCUUUAAUUUUACCACACGUCCAAUCAAAAGAGCUAUUGCUUUCACAUGAUGGCAGAAGGUCAUUAAAACAAAUGAUCUUGCUGCCAGACAAUGACAACAAAACCACAGCUCAGUAAGUAGUGUAUCUGUUAUUGAGCACUGACAGCACACUCAGUGCUGUGCUGCACUCAUUUUUUCAUUCUGAGUUGUUGCUGGUGAUCUGAUGGCCUGAGAGCUAUAGCUAAAACAUUGUCUCCUAACCUAACCUGUUAAGAUACAAUAUUAUUUGCUCAGACACACGAGUACACAGUUACUUUUGAUGUCAUAGCUGUCAAAUUCUGUAGCUCUUCCUUUGCUUUCAGCUGUGCUUGCAGUUUUAAUUUUUAGUAGUCUUCUCCAGAAGAAAUAGCAGCCUGUCCUUUAGUACCCUGAGUGGUGGUUCUUCAACCCUGGCGAAGUAAGUGCUGAUGCAUUACUUAAGAUGUUACAGUUUGUCUGGGUUCAGUCAUCAGGAUUCUCUGAAGUGUUUCACUUCAUAUUCUGCUGUGAACCAUGGCUGGUUCAAUGCUCUCUUCUGUUUGGGACAUGAAAGAAUUUCCAGAUUCUAACUUUCUCAUAUUUCUUAUCCUACUCAGUUUUAAACUUUCUUCUUGUAAGACAGUUGCCUGUUUUCCAUCCUUCAUCUUGAGAGCAAACUACUCCACAAAAUUCCAAAGUAAUGCAGUUACUACUGUAUAAUUGAAAGGUGCUAUUCACAGAUCUCAGUCAAUCACACAAAGCGUUAACAUGUGUUAAUGUUUUUACAUUCAAAAAUGACAUUCAAAAAACUCUAUGUACUGGUAAUAGAUACUAAUUCCCUUACCAUUUAUGCUUUUAAGAUAUCUGUGCAAAAGUAAAAUAGAGAAACAAAAUUGGAAAUAGAGUAUGAGUGACAACAAAAGAAAAUCCUACUCUAUAUGUAAGAAUUUCAGUUCAAGUCUGCAAUUUUUUUCUGUGCUGAGUUUUUCCACUGAUUUUGCUCAACAAUACCAUCAACACUGAGAACUCCUGCAGAGAUGCUGCACUGGUAGCAAUCAGGAAAAAAUAUUUUUAUACUUGUUGCACAAUAAUCUAGACACCCAGUUUGUGAUUUUUUUUUUCUGACUAACAGCUUCUUAAAAAGGAAAAAUUUGCACUGAUGGCAAAUGGUCCUGUGAGAGGCCCUUGACCUGUCUGUAAAUCAGGUUGCAAGUGAGCAUCCAGAAAAUGAGUAUUGUGUAAUCAUUAACCCAAUGACCACAUCUCUUCCCCCCCUCCUCCACAACUGAGGAAAGCUUAUUUUUUUCAGUGUCACCAGAAUGUUCUUAACGGUGAAGAAAAAAAGUGAUGUAGCUGUUACCCAAGUCAGUUAUAGUCUCCAAGCCUCCUGAUAGUAAGCAGAUCUCUUCAUAAGUGGUGUCCUGAGAAAGUAUGAUGCCUCCUGUCUGCUUCAUUCACCAAAUGCAGAGAUCAGAUAUUUGGAUUAGAGAACUACAGAUACAUGAAAACCAUUGCCUGUACUGUCUGUGGCAACCAGUCCUGGGUGGGUGUCCUGACUUGAUGGAAUGGGAAUGUAUGCUAAUUGAGUGCAGCACAGCUCUAGUAAGUCUGAUUUUUCACUGAGGUGUAUUCUAAAAGCUUUAGCUGAAGCCAUUGGCACAAUGCCCAAGAAUUACCCUGGACUGACUUUUACAAGGUGGUGAAAGGAUGGAGCAAAAGUGAGACCUGAAGUGUGAGAAAUCCUGUCUUCCAAGGAGAAUGUUUUAACUAACAGUGUAGUUGUGGGAAACAAAGAAAAAUAUUUUUCCAUUACCUAGUUUCUCACACUGCCACCUCAAAUGUGAUGGAUCAGAAAAGCCUUCAAGUAUUCUUUGUGCUCUGUCUCAUAAGCAGUUAUGGCUUAAAUCCUAAAGAGAGGAAUGGAGACAUAUAAGAAUUUACAUUAAAUAUGUGUAUUUGGUAUAAAAAACUUAAUAUCUACCUGUUGUGAAUUCAUGCCUCCAUAUUGAACUUUGUUUUCUUAUGGUUAUUUUAAACCCCUAAAGUACUGCUUAUUAAAUGUCUUUAGAAAUUAA